rnacentral:rRNA from 1 species
AGGACGAACGCUGGCGGCGCGCUUAACACAUGCAAGUCGAACGUGAAGCUGGAGCUUGCUCCGGUGGUAAGUGGCGAACGGGUGCGUAACACGUGAGCAACCUGCCCCGAAGACUGGGAUAACACCGGGAAACCGGUGCUAAUACCGGAUACCUUCCUCCGAUCGCAUGGUUGGUUGAAGAAAUGGAUUCCGCUUCGGGAUGGGCUCGCGGCCUAUCAGCUUGUUGGUGAGGUAACGGCCCACCAAGGCGACGACGGGUAGCUGGUCUGAGAGGACGACCAGCCACACUGGGACU